CGCGCUCCGGAAGAGUCAGACGAAGACCUGGGUUGCCCCAGACCCAAAAUCCGGCGAUUGGAGCAUUCAAGGAGCUUCGGACUACAAGCAGUUCCUUUGGCCACGCCAGCAAAGGUGGAAGCAGAGAAGCCAGUCCCUAGACGUGCUCCCAAGAGAAAGCGCACUCCGGAAGACUCAGACGAAGACCUGGGUUGCCCCAGACCCAAAAUCCGGCGACUGGAGCAUGGUGCCAGGAGGUAGACCCCACAGCAUCUUGCUGGCUGAGGCACUCUGAAGAGAGGGCAAUGGUUUAACUGCCUAAGGCAGCGAAUGCCUCUUCCUGCAGUGACCCACCCCGUCCCCCCACUGCCCACUGCCACAGAUCACAACCUGCGUCGUUCUGUUUGAGCCUUCCUCAGCCAGAAGCCUCCUGCCACACUAAAUGGCCAAAAGCAAGGAGCCUCAGAAACUGAGGUUUGAAAUGAGAGUCUGCCCUGAACAUCCCAGGGCUGAAGCUGGCCUGGAAGAAAACGUGACGUUCCUCUGCUCAAUCCUCAGGGGCCCCUUUGUCAGCUGAAGACAGAAAAGUCUGCACUCUGCGAGCCGAGAAGAAUGCAGGAGCAGAGACAGGGUGCAGAGAAGCCUUAGCAGUCUACCACAUGGGCUCCUGCUCUGAGCCAUUGUCAGCGGCCACCACCACAAACCAGGGGGGAGCUGGGUUUUUUGAAACUGAAAGCAGCAAUCUGUGGCUUCCCAAAGAGCCUCCUGCCUGGGGUCUCAGGAGGCAGGAUAGAGAGACCCAGGAAGACCUGCUCCCUGAAGCAAGACCAGGAUGGAGAGUCAAGCAGCACGCACCCUGCCCCGAGAAACUCUCUCUUCCCCCACACCAGCCCACAUGGCCCCGUACCGGGAAACCAGGAGCCCAGAGCACCUAUGGCCGCAGAGACACUGGCACGCAGCCCUCGGAGUGGGCGGGGCCGGCUGCAGGCAGAUGGGGACGCGGUGUGCUCCCGGGAGGCCUCGGGCUGAAGGUGGCCCUCUGAGAGAAGCGGCCCAGCUUGGCCAGGAAGGUUAGAGGCGGGGGAGAGCAGCCUAGGGCACCCCCUCGGAGCAGUGGGAGUGGGAAGAGGCGCAGGGGCGGAGGGAAGCCACGACGGGAGGCGAGUGGGCUCUCAGCAGAGGCCAGCUUAGCCCGCGGGAGCUGCCUCUGAGCAGGGGGCGGGAGGGCAGUGCCGCCCCGGGGCUGCCGGGCUUCGCGGAUCGCGGCUCUCCGCACACGGCUCGCAGGGCCCUGUGACUCUGUAUCCCCUCCCUCACCCCGCCCCCCUCGCGA